GAUGAACGCUGGCGGCGUGCCUAAUACAUGCAAGUCGAGCGAAUGGAUUAAGAGCUUGCUCUUAUGAAGUUAGCGGCGGACGGGUGAGUAACACGUGGGUAACCUGCCCAUAAGACUGGGAUAACUCCGGGAAACCGGGGCUAAUACCGGAUAACAUUUUGAACCGCAAGGUUCGAAAUUGAAAGGCGGCUUCGGCUGUCACUUAUGGAUGGACCCGCGUCGCAUUAGCUAGUUGGUGAGGUAACGGCUCACCAAGGCAACGAUGCGUAGCCGACCUGAGAGGGUGAUCGGCCACGCUGGGACUGAGACACGGCCCAGACUCCUACGGGAGGCAGCAGUAGGGAAUCUUCCGCAAUGGACGAAAGUCUGACGGAGCAACGCCGCGUGAGUGAUGAAGGCUUUCGGGUCGUAAAACUCUGUUGUUAGGGAAGAACAAGUGCUAGUUGACUAAGCUGGCACCUUGACGGUACCUAACCAGAAAGCCACGGCUAACUACGUGCCAGCCGCCGCCGUAA
rnacentral:rRNA from 1 species